ACGACGCAUCCCACGCGAGCCUCCGUCCACUCACAGACCUAGCUCCAGCGGCGUUGUCGCGCUCACGUCGCUGGUCACCAAGAGAAGCUCCAUCCGCGUCGGCUGCGGUCCGCUCCGCUCCUCGACCCUCGUCGCCCCGCAAAAACCGGCCGCCCUUCUACCCGCAGGUAUCCAGCCAGCCUCGAACUCUAGCACGCAAUUAUAACAUCCUUAAUUGUUAGGUUGUGUCUUCGGCUUAUGCGUGCUUUGCGUUUGCGUGGAUUUGGACCUCUGGUGAUUCUCGCGUGCUUUCAGCCUCGAACUCUAGCCUCAUCACCAUGGGGAUUCCCAGCUCCUAGCUCUCGACGUGGCUGGUGAGCGGGAGAACUCCCAGCCUCGAACUCUAGCCUCGAACUGCCAUGUUAGCUCUGGUGAGGAGCGUGGAUUUGUGAAGAUGGGGACAAGCUGUGCAAACACUUCCUUGAUUGAAAAUUCUGAAUUUCUGCUCGUUUAUGUUAUAUCUCAUAUGAAUUACAGAUGCCGUCUUCCUUUCUGCAGCCGUGCAGCCAAAGUUUUCAUGAAUUUUCAACAAGCGAAACCAGAUAUGAGAUUGGGAUCGAGAUAUGUCUAGUCCUGUGAUCGUCACUCCACUGAGUGAAUUAAAUUUUGAAGUAUGUCCCAAAUUUCACACCUAGCAAGUAACAAGCAGUAGUGGUUACUUCUGUUUGAGGUGUUACUGUAGGGAGUAUAAUGCUUGGGAAUGUUUCAGUUGCAGUUGUGAAUCAGUCAGUAUUCAGGUUUGUAAAAUAAUGCCCAGGAAGGCAAACCAUUGUGGAAAGAAUCAGCAUGGAGUUUUCCCAGCCAAGAAUCCCCAUGGUGAUGAAAAUUGUCAUGUGCACACCAGUUAAGCAUCCAAGCAAGAAUAAACAUCCACCUAUAGCCUGGACUGAACAACAUGGCGGUAGCUGUUCCUACGCAGCCAUAUGGUAAUCACAGAAUUAUUUGGGAUAUCCUGGUGCCAGAGAAAAGGAGUGUAGUGGAGAGGCAUGAUCACAAGCCUGCAUUCAAAGUGUUGCACCUGUAGCAGAGGAUCCCAUUGCAACGUUUGAGAAUAUUUUUUUUUAAAGUGCAUCUUGUCUUAAUUCAGCAAAAUACAAGAUUAGUGUGGUAAAGAAGCAUUUGAUGAGGACGAUGCUACUAGACAUGUGGUUGAAACUGAACUGGAAAACUUUGAGGAUAAUAAGGGAAUUAGGGUGUUUCUAGGAGGCUAGGACUAGUGAGUAGUAGCACAUCUUGGAAUCAAGCAACUGCUAAUGGAUCAGUUUCACCGGUGCCAUCUUCUUGAACCAGGGAGCCAACUCUUGCUGAUCAGUUGCAGCUGCAAUUGCAGCAAGCAGAGAUGCAACCUGAGCUUAAAACCCCUGAUGCUACUGAGGACCGCUCACAGCCAACUCGAACAGUUCAAUUGCCUUUAAAUCCUCGGGGAAAACACUGUGCAAUUGGAAAUAUAUCAUGUGUCUGUGUUGUGGGUCAGAAUAAUGUGGGAAAUAUAUUCUUGCAAUUGGACUCCGAUCUUCAGAACAAUGCGCUAAACAGUGGUGUUCCAGAAUGAGUGAGGGAUCCAUUGUGACGAAGGCAUGCUGAUAUGAGGCAUGGGCAACCCUUGCCAUGGUACUGUGACAGAAGAGGUUCCAAAGUGACCUGGAAUGUUUACAAGGUUACUGAAAUAAAAUGAACCUGCAUGGAUGACAUAUCGAAGGAGAUAUGGAUGGAAUGUGAAUUGCGAUAACCCUGAGAUCAGGUAUGACACCGGCACCUGACCAUGUUGACUUGGGAUGUGAAAUGGAUCUGCACGAAGGACAAACUAAACAGACAUGGCAGGCCGAUGGUUGGAAUGAGGGGGCGUCCAGCUUCAACUUGCCUAUUGUAGCCCGGGUCACAUUUUUCUUUCAUUAGGUUAGCAAUUACUUCAUGUAGUCUUGUAAAAAUUCUGCUUCUCACGUUUUCGAAAAUAGUAGUGGCAUUACCAGGACAAGUUUAGUAGCAUUGCUUGUGACCUGAGAUCACUGUAUCUGACUUUGUGGUCGGCCUUGUAUACCCAGCACCUGAGUGGUUGAAACCACGUCUUUGGGUGAAACUGAAAUUAUCUCGUGCUGAACC